rnacentral:rRNA from 1 species
GUGCCACCGCGGUAAUACGAGGGGAGCAAGCGUUGUUCGGAUUUACUGGGCGUAAAGGGCGCGGUAGGCGGUCGUGACAAGUCACUUGUGAAAUCUCCGGGCUUAACUCGGAACGGAUCAAGUGAUACUGUCGGACUAGAGUACAGAAGGGGCAACUGGAAUUCUCGGUGUAGCGGUGAAAUGCGUAGAUAUCGAGAGGAACACCUGCGGCGAAGGCGGGUGCUGGGCUGAUGACUGACGCUGAUGCGCGAAAGCCAGGG